UUUUAAUCGAGAGUUUGAUCCUGGCUCAGGACGAACGCUGGCGGCGUGCCUAAUACAUGCAAGUCGAACGCACUCUCGUUUAGAUUGAAGGAGCUUGCUCCUGAUUGAUAAACAUUUGAGUGAGUGGCGG
rnacentral:rRNA from 1 species